rnacentral:lncRNA from 1 species
AGGUCAUAUACCAGUUAAACUGCCCCAUUUUGCCUCUUAGUUUACAUUGUGAGCCCACUCAACCAGUUCCUGAGAUACUACUGGGAAGCUGCUGAUCACCAGUUUCAGGUUUUUUCCAUCUGUUGGGAAACUGCCUAUCCCUUGUGCUCGCUGCAACCAAUUAUUAUUUUAGGGAGACAGUUAACCGCCUGACCAUCACCCGAUGAUCGCCUGAUGUUCAUGCAUCCAUGACUACAUAAACUUUUUGGCCGUUUGACCAAGUGGGGACAUCUGGCAUACUGCUAUCAACCAAUAUAAAACUACUGGAGGGUGGUUCCAAGAUGGCCAAAUAGAAACAGCUCCAGUCUACAGCUCCCAGCAUGAGCGAUGCAGAAGACGAAUGAUUUCUGCAUUUCCAACUGAGUUCACAGAUCUUCAACUCCAGAGAACUGAGUUUAAGGAGCUGUACCUGGGAAAUUGUGCCUGAAGCUGUUCCUGAGGAAUCUGCACCUGGAUCUAAUGUACAUGCUGAGAU